rnacentral:lncRNA from 10 species
GCGGCUCUGGCCGCGGGCGGUGCUCACCCCCGGUUAUCCUCCACCGUCCCCGCAAGCCGUUUCCAGGCAGUAAUCCCGGGCGGGCGAGGUCCCCUGCGUGCCGGCGCGGCCCCGAGUGUGCCCUGACGCCCAGUGUGCUACUUCACUUACUCCGAACAGUCCUAUUGUUCCUCCCAGCAGAGCCAUUGAAAAGCCAUUUGCAAAAUAGCAGAGGGUUCCAGAUGGGAGGAGCCAUUGUUCAAAGUCCAGACCACCCAGCAGGCAUGUCAGACCCGUAAGUCGUUAUCCCCAACGGAAGAAACAAUGGCAGAGAAAGGUAACUAUGUAGAGCAGCAAGCCCCUCAGAUUUAAUGUGCAUGCAAAUCAACUGGGGUUCCUGUUCAAAUGUUUCAGUAGGUCUGGAAGGGGCCCAAUAAUCUGCAUUUCUAGCAAGCAACCAGGGGAUGAGGAACUCUUUGAGUGGCAAGAAUGUGGAUUGGAUGUUGUUUAACUGCUUCUAUUUUGUAGCACAUCUGUCAAUUUGACUAAGCUAUAGAAAAUACAGGGUGACAAACUUUUCUCCUUAAAACUGAAUUCCUUAAUGCUUUGUUACAGAAAUAUAUGAGGAUAGAGCAUUGUUCAUUAUCCCUUUUUUUAAAAAAGGUUCUUUCUACUGAUGAUCAUUCAACCUUCAUUACCAUUUUUGUUGCUUUUCCGCUGUGAGCACAGGACACCUAUUCUCUAUCUGGAUCCAGUAUACUAAGCUAUAACCAUCUCUCCCAGGAAAUCAUGUGUUUGCUGGGAGUGAAUUUUCCAGAAGGCACCUUGGCCUCAUGACAUGGAAGGUCUGAUUCCAACUCUGCCAGUGAAGAACUGAGAGACCCUGGACAAGUUGUCUCGCCUUUCUGAUCAAUUGCUAUACCUAAAAUAGGUACACUGUGUGGGGGGAAGCGAUUAAAAUUUUUGAAAAAAUUUUAAUUUUUUGGUUUAUU